rnacentral:rRNA from 1 species
UGAAUAUGCAAACCACAACACGCACUCUCUAUUUGUGUACCGACGUUAGGUCGAACCGCGCAAGCGUGUCCGGCCUACUUGCCUACACACCAUUGACCAACCAAUGAGUAAACCAAACUCUGAAGCUUUGGCUGCCGUUAACCGGCAGUCUCCAACGAAAACAACUCUCAACAACGGAUAUCUUGGCUCUCGCAACGAUGAAGAACGCAGCGAAAUGCGAUACGUAGUGUGAAUUGCAGAAUUCCGUGAACCAUCGAAUCUUUGAACGCAUAUUGCGCUCGACUCCUCGGAGAAGAGCAUGUCUGCCUCAGCGUCGGUUUACACCCAUCAUCCCUCUUACUCUUCAUUGAGUAGGCUUGCCGUGUUUGCUCAAACCGGCAUUAGGGGUGGAUCUGGCCCUCCCAAUCAAUGCAAGUUGAUUGGGUUGGCUGAAGCACAGAGGCUUAAACUGGGACCCGUAAGGGCUCAACUGGAUAGGUAGCAACACCCUUUGGGUGCCUACACGAAGUUGUGUCUGAGGACCUGGUUAGGAGCCAAGCAGGAAACAUGCUUCAUUGCAUGUAUCUCGUAUUCGACCUGAGCUCAGGCAAGGCUACCCGCUGAACUUAAC